CUGGGGUGGUGCCAUCUAUUGUUUGAUGGUCAAACUAUGAUUUUUGACUGAUUUCUGAAAUUAAAAAUUUGCUUUCGCCUGGAGUCGAGCCAGGGACUUCGGGAUGGUGCCCCGACGUCUUGCCGGCUGGACUACCAAGACAUCAACGGGUUUCCAGUUUCAGAAUAUAUUUGGUUUAGAAUUGUCGGACUCGGCCGGUUGCGGCGCUCCCGGACGGGCUGUGUCUGGCCACGGGCCCCCGUGGCGCUGUCCGGGCGGGCGGGCUUGGCACGGGCCAGAUGGCAAAUCGUUGCUGAACCGCACAGGGGAUUGAUUACCG
rnacentral:lncRNA from 1 species